UUAAGUGACUAAGCGUACACGGUGGAUGCCUGGGCAGUCAGAGGCGAUGAAGGACGUACUAACUUGCGAUAAGCGCAGAUAAGGCAGUAAGAGCCGUUUGAGUCUGCGAUUUCCGAAUGGGGAAACCCAACUGCAUAAGCAGUUACUGUUAACUGAAUACAUAGGUUAACAGAGCAAACCGGGGGAACUGAAACAUCUAAGUACCCCGAGGAGAAGAAAUCAACCGAGAUUCCGGUAGUAGCGGCGAGCGAACCUGGAUUAGCCCUUAAGCACUCGGUGAAGUAGGUGAACAAGCUGGAAAGCUUGGCGAUACAGGGUGAUAGCCCCGUAACCGACGCUUCAUCGAGCGUGAAAUCGAGUAGGGCGGGACACGUGAUAUCCUGUCUGAAUAUGGGGGGACCAUCCUCCAAGGCUAAAUACUCCUGACUGACCGAUAGUGAACCAGUACCGUGAGGGAAAGGCGAAAAGAACCCCUGUGAGGGGAGUGAAAUAGAACCUGAAACCGUGUACGUACAAGCAGUAGGAGCACCUUCGUGGUGUGACUGCGUACCUUUUGUAUAAUGGGUCAGCGACUUAUAUUCAGUGGCAAGGUUAACCGUAUAGGGGAGCCGUAGCGAAAGCGAGUCUUAACUGGGCGCUCAGUCUCUGGAUAUAGACCCGAAACCGGGUGAUCUAGCCAUGGGCAGGUUGAAGGUUGAGUAACAUCAACUGGAGGACCGAACCGACUAAUGUUGAAAAAUUAGCGGAUGACUUGUGGCUAGGGGUGAAAGGCCAAUCAAACUCGGAGAUAGCUGGUUCUCCCCGAAAGCUAUUUAGGUAGCGCCUCGGACGAAUACUACUGGGGGUAGAGCACUGUUAAGGCUAGGGGGUCAUCCCGACUUACCAACCCUUUGCAAACUCCGAAUACCAGUAAGUACUAUCCGGGAGACACACGGCGGGUGCUAACGUCCGUCGUGGAGAGGGAAACAACCCAGACCGCCAGCUAAGGUCCCAAAGUAUUGCUAAGUGGGAAACGAUGUGGGAAGGCUCAGACAGCUAGGAUGUUGGCUUAGAAGCAGCCAUCAUUUAAAGAAAGCGUAAUAGCUCACUAGUCGAGUCGGCCUGCGCGGAAGAUGUAACGGGGCUAAGCAAUACACCGAAGCUGCGGCAAUGUCUUUUAGACAUUGGGUAGGGGAGCGUUCUGUAAGCCGUUGAAGGUGAAUCGUAACGCAUGCUGGAGGUAUCAGAAGUGCGAAUGCUGACAUGAGUAACGACAAAGGGGGUGAAAAACCUCCUCGCCGGAAGACCAAGGGUUCCUGUCCAACGUUAAUCGGGGCAGGGUGAGUCGACCCCUAAGGUGAGGCCGAAAGGCGUAAUCGAUGGGAAACGGGUUAAUAUUCCCGUACUUCUGACUAUUGCGAUGGGGGGACGGAGAAGGCUAGGUGGGCCAGGCGACGGUUGUCCUGGUUCAAGUGCGUAGGCUUGAGAGUUAGGUAAAUCCGGCUCUCUCUAAGGCUGAGACACGACGUCGAGCUACUACGGUAGUGAAGUCAUUGAUGCCAUGCUUCCAGGAAAAGCCUCUAAGCUUCAGAUAGUCAGGAAUCGUACCCCAAACCGACACAGGUGGUCGGGUAGAGAAUACCAAGGCGCUUGAGAGAACUCGGGUGAAGGAACUAGGCAAAAUGGUACCGUAACUUCGGGAGAAGGUACGCUCUUGAUGGUGAAGUCCCUCGCGGAUGGAGCUGACGAGAGUCGCAGAUACCAGGUGGCUGCAACUGUUUAUUAAAAACACAGCACUGUGCAAAAUCGCAAGAUGACGUAUACGGUGUGACGCCUGCCCGGUGCCGGAAGGUUAAUUGAUGGGGUUAGCGCAAGCGAAGCUCUUGAUCGAAGCCCCGGUAAACGGCGGCCGUAACUAUAACGGUCCUAAGGUAGCGAAAUUCCUUGUCGGGUAAGUUCCGACCUGCACGAAUGGCGUAAUGAUGGCCACGCUGUCUCCACCCGAGACUCAGUGAAAUUGAAAUCGCUGUGAAGAUGCAGUGUACCCGCGGCUAGACGGAAAGACCCCGUGAACCUUUACUACAGCUUGGCACUGAACAUUGAACCUACAUGUGUAGGAUAGGUGGGAGGCUAUGAAGACGUGACGCCAGUUGCGUUGGAGCCGUCCUUGAAAUACCACCCUUGUAUGUUUGAUGUUCUAACUUAGACCCAUUAUCUGGGUUGAGGACAGUGCCUGGUGGGUAGUUUGACUGGGGCGGUCUCCUCCCAAAGAGUAACGGAGGAGCACGAAGGUGGGCUAAUCACGGUUGGACAUCGUGAGGUUAGUGCAAUGGCAUAAGCCCGCUUAACUGCGAGAAUGACGGUUCGAGCA
rnacentral:rRNA from 1 species